GCUGUUCAUGGCAUUACUACCCCCUAAAACAGCAAAGAACAUUCAACUGGAUGGAAUGUUUCGUCUACCCAAGCCUCAGUCCAACACAGCCCCAACCACCGGCGACCUCCUGGUUAAGUUUCAAAACGGGCAAGACAAAGCAGCCAUCUUACAAGCUACCAGAGGGAAGACCCCAUAUCACUUUGAAGAAAUGGACCUCACGUUCUUUGCUGACCUCUCCCGCUCGACGUUGCAGUGGAGGAGGUCGCUGAGACCACUGGCAUCCACGCUUACAUCCCAAGGCAUAAAGUUUCACUGGGGCACACCUCGUGCGCUGACUUUCCAACAUAAUGGUGUGGAACACAGAGUCACGGAGGCAUCUGAAAUGGACGCUAUCCUGUCCUCCCUGAAACCGAGCCCUGACCCUCGACCCACGAACCCCACCUGGAACCCCGCUACCGUGGUUCCGUUCACUCCAGCAUCUCGAGGACCAAAGGGCGCACCUGUCACCUGAACACGGAACCAUCUGUGUUGGGACCUGUACCCUCUCUUUUUCUAAUAAGUUACCGGCAUUUUAUUUUUAUGUCUUAGUUAAGGUUAAAACGUUGUGCUUUACUUAGGAACCACUCCCCUCCCCAUACCGCAUACGGCGGAACGACCGUACGGGUCGACAAUGGGCGAAAGGAGACCCACCUAUCCACCCUAAUUACGUCCAUCCUACCCUCCCCCCCCCAGCUCCAGCUCUUCUUGACCCACACAUAAACAGUUGGCGGAGCUACCUCACUAAAAAGCUUGAGACACCAUACCAAGUUACUUGAUCCUUAAGGAUCCGCUAUUUUAAGCUACCCUACACCACAGUGGUCCUACUUACGUGCCCUCACCCUGUACUAUUUCUCGGGCCUACUACUUAGUCCAAACAGGGCUCCACAUCCCGGUAGGAAGCGGGAUCACUAAAAAUUAAAAUGAUCUCUCACUUGUUUGCCCAACGUGUACCUCCCAAUAUAUCACUGCCAUUGAUCGAUCCGCUUCUUGC